rnacentral:rRNA from 1 species
AACGAACGCUGGCGGCACGCCUAACACAUGCAAGUCGAACGAGAUCUUCGGGUCUAGUGGCGCACGGGUGCGUAACGCGUGGGAAUCUGCCCUUUGGUUCGGAAUAACAGUUGGAAACGACUGCUAAUACCGGAUGAUGACGAAAGUCCAAAGAUUUAUCGCCAGAGGAUGAGCCCGCGUAGGAUUAGCUAGUUGGUGUGGUAAAGGCGCACCAAGGCGACGAUCCUUAGCUGGUCUGAGAGGAUGAUCAGCCACACUGGGACUGAGACACGGCCCAGACUCCUACGGGAGGCAGCAGUGGGGAAUAUUGGACAAUGGGCGAAAGCCUGAUCCAGCAAUGCCGCGUGAGUGAUGAAGGCCUUAGGGUUGUAAAGCUCUUUUACCCGGGAUGAUAGUGACAGUACCGGGAGAAUAAGCUCCGGCUAACUCCGUGCCAGCCGCCGCAGUAA